CGGGCUCAUCACAGGCCUGAGACGGCAGGCCUGGGAUCAUUUCUUUUAUUUUAGUUAUUUUAGUCUGAGAGUUUGAUUUGAUGAUCGCUGUCGGGAAAUACGGACAGAAUACUUUCAGAAGACCGUUCUAAAUUAAAAGGCUUACCCUAAGAGAGCAGAGUGGUAUUGAACAGUUUAAAAUACUUUAAGCUAGUAGAGGUUUUAAACUGUCUAAAAUGCUUUAAGAUAGCAGUAAUAUUAAACCGUUUAAAAUACAAUAUGCCUGCCGGGGUUUUAAACGGCUUUAAAUACUUUAAGCUAGCAGAGGUUUCAAACAGUUUUCAAUGCUCUAAGCUAGCAGUAGUAUCAAACUGUUUAAAAUACUUUAUGCCUGCAGAGGUUUUAAACAACGUUAACGGCGGUCUUGCGUACUGAGGGGCUCUGG